rnacentral:rRNA from 1 species
AUUGAACGCUGGCGGCAGGCCUAACACAUGCAAGUCGAGCGAGCGGCGGACGGGUGAGUAAUGUAUGGGGACUGCCCGAUAGCGGGGGAUAACUACUGGAAACGGUGGCUAAUACCGCAUACUAUCGGAUAACCCAUAUGGGAUUAGCUAGUAGGUGGGGUAAAGGCUCACCUAGGCGACGAUCUCUAGCUGGUCUGAGAGGAUGAACAGCCACAAUGGGACUGAGACACGGCCCAGACUCCGACGGAGGCAGCGGUGGGUAAUAUUGCACAAGGGGUGCAAGCCUGAUGUAGCCAUGCCGCGUGUAUGAAGGAGGCCUUAGGGUUGUAAAGGACUGUCAGCGGGGAGUCGUUACCCGCAGAAGAAGCACCGGCUAACUCCGUGCCAGCAGCCGCGGUAAUAC